UGCCGGGGGGCGGGGACGCGGGCGGCUCCGGGCGGGCGUGGUCCCUCUUGCGGGCGCCUGGGCUGGCCGGGCGGACCCCGGAGAGGGGGAGCCGCGGGGACGCAGCGACAGGCUCGGGGUGCUGGCAGCGGCAGCCCACGCCUCCCAGGGGUUGCAGGCCUGGGCGCCGGGGUUGGACCAGUCUCCCGGGCAUGGCACGCCCUGGUUUGGUGUGUACCCAUGGUUUGUGGCGGGGCAAGACGUUAAGUUGGGUGACACCGAGGUGAGCCACGGUCCUUGGCACCAGAUGAGGAACCACUGUCUCAAUAAGUGACACCAGUGAUGCUGUUAAACAAGGACAGUCCGGUUCAUGGAUUGUGACAACGCACGCUGACAUCAAGCAGACCCUGCCGUCAGGUACAGAGGGCACCACAGUGACCAGGAACUGCUGUCCUUUCAUACCAGGUUUUAGGAGACUUUACCAGAAGGAAUGGAAAAUGCUGGUGGGCAGUAAGAUUGAAACAGCAUCUGAGGACUGGUUCUGCACAAAACCUUAAAUUCUUCAAGGACUUUGACAUUUGUUUAUUCUUGUAACAAAUUAAAACCUAUCCUGUGUGUUGGUUAGAGAUCUUCAAACUGUAAAUACCUUGAGGCAGGAGUGAGGUUUUUAUCUUCUAAAGGACAGGCCCCUACUCUCCUACGUAAUGAGUUUCUAAAAAUGGAUGUGAGCACCAAUCAAUAUUUCUCUGGUUGUUAAAGUCAAGAAUAAAAUGGUAUUUUUAAGCUUGCAACUGUGUAGGAUGAAUUCUGUACACUUUUAUUUCCCUCUGUUCUCCUUUCCUAUUUGAAAGUUUAUUAGUUUGUGGACUUGGGAUCAGAUUAUUCAUGCAUUAUUUUUUGAUGUUGUAUGUCUUUUGGUUCUAGGGUAUUUUUGACACAUAUUCUGUCUUGUAACCAUAGUUAAACAAUUGUUUUAGACCAACUCUCUGUGUGUAAUUGGCUUCAACACUCACUGCUAGUCCUUUGAUGCUCUGUUUUUUUCCAUUCUUGAGUAAUUUUAAGUCAUCACUUGGGCAGUUGAAAUAUAUUUUAAAGUGAUUUAAAGAAUAUGUGAGUGGCAGACAUUCUGAACUCUUUUGGUUGUCUGUCCUCAAAAACUAAAACUUAUUUGUGAGUAAAAUUUUCAUCUAAGUGUUUUCCAUAUAAAAACUCUGUAAGCUACUGCUCCAUUGUAGUAGACACAAAAAAGUCAGCACAAUUUUCAUCCCUCCCUCCCUCCCUUCUCUUCCCCUUCCCCUUCUUUCCUUCCUUUCUUCCUUCCUUCUUUCCUUCUUUCCUUCCUUCCUUCCUUCCUUCCUUUUUCUUUUGGUCUGAAUGUACAAAGAAAACACUUAAAAAUUUGCUUGUAAUUUAAAAACUUGUUAGGAUAUUUCUGGAUUUGAGUGUUUCUUGGUUACUUUUACCUGGAACCUGGUGAACUGAGUCCAUUCCUCUGUUUCCCCUUUGUGUACUUUUUUGGAAAGUUUUCUUUAAUUAUAUCUUCAAUUAUUGUUUCUCUUUUGAUUGGUCUAGAUUCUUCUUCAGAAACAUAACUCUUAGGCUCAAUCUCUAUUCCUGGUCUUCCAUAGCUAUCGUCUUCUUUUUAAAGUACUGUAUUUUAUUGAAUCUAAGCUAGUAUUUGUUGUAAGAAGCACUAUUAUUAUAUGUACAACUAAGGAAG
rnacentral:lncRNA from 1 species